rnacentral:lncRNA from 1 species
UUUCUCUUCCAUUCUUCAGAUAAAUAAGGGAUGGUUUUUUGAUUACUGCUUAUCCGUUUUUCUGAAAAAUAAUCACUUGUCACUCAAGUUUUGGUUGAAAAAGGUUAAUUCAAGUUUGGUUGAAGAUUGCAGUCCUGAAGAACAUUGCUUUGGACGAAUUUUGUAAUAGCUUCAAAAGGUUAGUAAUUUCGUUGAAACUCCUUUUUGAUUAGGUUAUCUAGAUGUUAUGUAAUUUAAAUUGAUCUUGUAGAAUUGCUUCAGUUGUGCAUGUUAUAACAAUAACAUAUAUAUAUAUAUAUAUAUAGGGUUACUAGCUCGAUAGAGGCGGAAGUGUAAUGUGAUUUCUUUUAAUUUGCCUAACUCUCAGUAUGACUUACAUGGUCAAUAUGUUGGUGGAAUAUAGCAAGUAUUAUAGUUAUAAUAAUUGAAAUGUCACAAAUUGAAUUGAACAUUAUUGUUUAUCUUUAUACUCUUUUUGUCUCAUUUUAUGUGUCAUCAUUUUCUUUUCGGUCUAUUCCAAAAAAAUGUCACCUUUCCUUGGUAACUAUUUAAAUACACAAGUUCACUUUUAUUCUUAUUAGUCCCACUUAUAAGGUCCUACUUAAUUAAAGAUAGUAGUAGUAUAUUUUUUAAUAAAGAACAAUUUGAUAAACAUCGCCAGUCUUUCCUUAUUUCUUAAACUUUGUGUCCGGUCAAAGUAUGCCACAUAAAAUGAGACAAAGGGAGUAUUUCUACUGAUAUCUAAUCGAUAACAAACUUGAAUGGCUUUUGCAUAUAUAUAUAUACAUACAUACAUACAUACAUACAUAUUUAUAUAUAUGUAUAGAUAUAUAUACACACCAAUUCUAGACUUUUCUUAGAUUAUGAAAGAAAUUUCAUAAGAAAAAAUAUAAAUAUGGGGCUAUGCUGAUUAUUUAUAAAUUAUUUGUAAAUAAAUAGGGUAAAUAUGCAAAAAAAAAUAAUUUAUACUGCUCAUUUAAGUAUUGUAAAUAAUAUUUUUAUCCUCUAGAUACAAGAGAUAUUCUUGCGCUCUAAUCACAUGUAUUUCAUUUAUAAUACUUCCAAUACGGACAUGAUGUUGAUUUAUAGUUUUGUAGGCUUUUACAAAUUCAUUGAUAGAUUCAUCAAGAUUAUUCAAGGCUAUUUGAUAUUUUUAUAACCUUUUUCGAGACUAUCUUUAGAUGAUUGAGCUUCAAUCAUCAAUUUUUAUCAUUUAUACUUUCAGUAUAAAAACAAUGUUUAUAAAUAGUAAUAUACUGUAUGAUUAAUCAAGAUGAUAAAUUCUCUAUAGGUGCUUAGUAUCUAAAGCAUUAUGCUUCUAUGUAAAUUAAUAACAUGAAUAUAGAUUUUAAAAAUAUAUUAUUAAUAUUACAAAGUAAAGAUUUAUCUAUAUAUACUUCUCUAUUCUUGUUCUUAAAAUAGCUUUAUCACUUUCGUAGUAGCUCUACUUUGAGCAAUGAACAGUAUUUUUUCCUUUUCGAGUGGCCUGUAUACGUCUAUACUCUUACUGUUCCUCUGUCUGAGUGAAGAUCGCAACCUUCACUUGAAACUAUUUUAAAACUUAUAAAAGGGGAUACAGAACAAAGUUCUGUAAUUCAUAUUAUUAAUACAUAAAGAAAAAUUUUAUAUUCAAAUUUUUCUUUUACAUAUUCACCAUAUUACUAUGGAUACCUUUCCCUGGCGGCAUAAGUAUUUUUAUUUCCUCAAUGCCUAAUAUUUUUUCUCUAAAGUUGAUAAUGAAAAAUAUAGUUUAUCUUCUAGGAAUUUUUUACUUUCCUUUUAUAGAUCGAAGGAUGAGUAAAAUUAUAAGUAUGCUUUUUUGGGAGGUAUCUAUAUAAAAUUAUAUUUUUUUUUCUUUUGAUCCUUUAAUAAUGAUUUUCACCAUAAUAUUUCUUAUCUCUAAAGAUAAGAUUCUUCUUUAUUUUGUUGUUAUCCUUUUCGUUUUUCAGUUGUAGGCCUUAUGACGUAAGUGCUUACAUCUUUUGAAUUAUUAUCUUAUAAGAGUGCAAAGAGUACAAGAUCUUUCUCAAUGGACCAAGCUCGGAUUUACAAAGUGGGUGAAGACCUUUUGGAACCAUUUCAAGAGCCUUGGCAAAAGUUGAAGAUGGGAGAAGGGAUCUUAAACUCCAACGGCACCUCACUUAAAGGGCAUAGUUUUAUUUUACACUCCAAAAGCUACACUCAAAGAGCGUCUAUUCCUUGGCUUUCAUUAAGGGCAAUUUGAUCCUUUUGUGUAAUAACUAUAAAUAGAUAUUUAGGCUUCUAUUUCUCAUUAGUUUGUGAUGAAUAUUGAGUGAACUUAUUUUUUAGACUUCUUUCUUCUCUCUAGGAGUAGAAACCGUAACUAGGGUUAGCUUAAGUGUGGAUUCACUUGAGUUGACAAUUUGACUUAGAAACAUUGAUGCUUUGGGGUACUUCGAGUCCCUUUUGUGUCAACGUAAGAGCGUGGUGUUUCAAUUACAAGCUUUGGUGGGUCUUGGUGUUUGAUGCACACCUUGGUUCCUUUGGUAUUGUAGUUGUUAUGUCUCACUAACUAUCUUUUCAUUUAUGCAAGUUUUUGUGUGUUAGCUUCCAAAUCUGUGUGUUGUUUGCUUCUUGUGUCAUUAUCUCUACUUCAUCUUCUUUCUUUAGUUGUAGUUUUUGGUUUUUAUAUCUUAUUUCUAUAUUAUUUGUAUCAGGAGCCACGUUUUAAGGUUGUUCCUACAACUCUAAGUCUUGGAUUGUUGUUACCUUAAAGAAAAUCUUCACAAAAAAAGUCAAAAGUCCAAGAAUCAUAAAAAAAGUUGAGUUUCGUUUUUAGUCACUUAGAUCUGAAUCUUAAACACUAGAUCUAUUAGGUUUUUGUGUGUUUUGAUAGUUUCUAGUGCUAGAUCCUUGCUCACUAGCACUAAGAAAUUCUAGAUCUAAGAUUUGAGCAAGAUCCAAAUUAUUUUGAGCAUUCUACCAUUGUUAAAGUUGUGUUUGAAGCUUUUGGAGGUGGAAUCUCGUGUGGUGUGUUAUGGUUAUGAUGUUUUAGUAGUUAUUUUGUGUUAUUUGUGCUUGGCUUAACAAAGGGACCUUAGAUCUACAAUAAAAUUUAAAUUUGGAGGCCAUUUGCCUUGUGAUCAAACUUGGUGAACUCUUGAAUAUUCAUGUUUUGUUCUUCUUCAUCUUCACGUCUUGUUGAAUAAGAAUAUUCAAAAGAGGACGUUUAAUCUACAAAAAGAAAAAAGAAAGUGUAAAAGUUGUUUGUAGAAAAGAAUAUUUCAAGCAUAUUCAAGUCAUCCAAAGAGAAGAGGGAACAAAGGGAAUAUUCAAGUACAAUUGAAAGUACAAGGGGGACUAUCUCAUUUCAAAUCCAUUUGAAGCUUGAAAAGGGCUGAUUUCUCCCUCAAAAUCAGCCUACACUCUUUUGGUUAAUAUUUGGCCGAGACACAAAAUUGAAGAACAAUUUUUUUUUUUUUGCAUAGUUGAUGUCCAAUCACAAGGUGCCACAUCAUCAAUUUUGGACAACCGGAUCUUUUAGUUCAAACUUAGAUUUCUUAGUUUCUAUUUUUUGUUUCUUAGUUACAUUUUGUUAAAUCUAUUACUAAUUAUCAAACUAAUAACUAUCUAAUAGGUUGAGAAUUAGUUUAGUGUCCAUUUUUUCAUGUUAAUGUUCUUUGUGUGCUUUUCUGUUUUGUGAAUUCAUUGUGUUUUGUUGGUUCAAGUCCGAAAGUAAAUUUUCUUUGAGCCAACUCAAAUGAAAAUCUAUUCCGUGCAAAAGUAGACUCAGCCCUCAAUUAGUCACGAAGUACAAGCCAAUUUUCAACACUUGUGAAGCCAAGUGUGUGGUAAAAUCGAGAGUGAGAGUGUGUGAGGCUAUUUGAACUAACUUGUUUGUUCAUUUUGUAGGUUUGUUUUUGUUAGGUGCAUUUAAAAUGGAACCCGAAGCUACCACAUCUCAAACCUUGGGGAAUGAUGUUAGUGGAUUCCUCUUGGCUCAACUUGAGUCAUUAACCUUGAAUUGAGGAUGAUGAGAACGGAUUUUGGUAGACUAGAGGCGGAAAUGGGAUCAAUAAAGGGUGAUUUGGGGCCAAUGUAGAGUGACAUAACAACAAUGAGUGGACGGUUGGAACAAAUUGAGAGUUGAAGGAACUCACGACCCUCUAUUCCUCAUCCCUACCAUGUGUCUUCUAGUGUACAAGCCCAAAAUACAUCUACCACCAUUACACCCGAAACCCUCCACCAAAUGCUCUAUCUACCAAAACCUCCAUAAAAUCAUACCCAAACACCUACUUACUCCCAAACCCAAAAUCCUACAAGACCCCUUGACCCUCAAUUCACUCAAGUCCAAUAAGAAGGACUUGGUAACCAAAUACCAAGCCCAAACCCGAAUGCCUCACUAUAAGAUCCACUUAACCAAAGACUCUAUCCUCCACAAAAUACUACACCUCCUAUCCAAGCUCCACUUAACCAAAGGCUUUACCAACGACAAAAUCCCCCAUAUCAAGCUAUACUUAACCAAAAUCAACCCAUACAUGUAGAAAACUAUGGUAGAAAGAAACAAGAUGGUUAUGGAGUUUACAAUGAUGACUACAUGAUUGAUGAAGAGAUGAGAGGUGGAUAUGAUCAAAGAGGACAACAAGGUAGGUUUCGAGGGCAUGAAGGUAGACUUGGCCUUGGAAAUCCUCAAGGAACUCAUGAGAUUGG